GACUGGCUCCAGAGGAACUUUGGCAUCUUUUCUGUUUUUGCAGAACUGCAGGAGUUACAAGUCCUUAAUCCCGACUUCUCCAGCAAGGAAUCACUGUCGCUGCUUACCCCAACCCAAGUGGCACAAUUGACAUUGACCUCUGGGGCAUUGAAUGACACAGAUGACAUUAAACUUGUGUUUACGCGGCUGGAGGAAGGUGACGCUUUCAAAAAUGUUGACGAGUUUCUGACGCAACUGACCGCAAAGGAAGAGAUUCCUGACAUCCAUCCAGCCGUGAGA